AACGAACGCUGGCGGCAUGCCUAACACAUGCAAGUCGAACGAGACCUUCGGGUCUAGUGGCGCACGGGUGCGUAACGCGUGGGAACCUGCCCUUAGGUUCGGAAUAACUCCCCGAAAGGGGUGCUAAUACCGGAUAAUGUCUUCGGACCAAAGAUUUAUCGCCUUUGGAUGGGCCCGCGUUGGAUUAGCUAGUUGGUAGGGUAAAAGCCUACCACGGCGACGAUCCAUAGCUGGUCUGAGAGGAUGAUCAGCCACACUGGGACUGAGACACGGCCCGGACUCUUCCGGAAAGGGAGAGGGGGAAAGAGUGAAAAAGGGCGAAAAGGCUGAACCGACACGGCCGGGGGAGGAAGGAAGCCCUGAGGGUAGAAAAGUUUUUUUCCCCGGGAUAGUAAUGACGGGACCGAAUAAAAAAGCCCCGGCUAACCCCGUC
rnacentral:rRNA from 1 species